UUAAGCCUGGACGACAUGUUUUGGCUUCAUUGAGCUCAGCUGAGUCAUUUAUCCCGGAUGUCUUAAUUCUACUUUUGGUGGCAACAGGCCCCAGGUUGGUGAUUUGGUUGUCGGCAACAACAACUAAACAAACCAUCUGUGUUUGAGCAUGGCCAUUGSUGGGGGUCGUUUGAUGACGCGUGUUGAAUUCACCAAUCAGCGACGGAGAGUUUAUGCCGCUGUUUGGGCGCGCGAGCUUUCAACGGGGCGGCGAGUCGAAACACAGGAAGUUCAUUACUAUUAUUAGCCAGACAGAUUGAUAGCUAUCUUUUGUUGUUCAUGAUAUAUACGCAGACGUUUUGUUCUGAUUGGCAACUGUUAACAAAACUGUACUCUUGUCAGGCUAGUACGUUAUUAGGUAGCUGUGCCCGUCAUGCCAGUCGUUCGAUGCUUUGUUUGUUUUCUGGUAAAUGGUUGCUAUGUUAGCUAGCUGAUGUUAGCUAACCAGUCCGAUMAUUUAUUGCCCAGCAUCAUGUGCAUCUGCUGUUUUGUAACGUUUAAAAUUAGAUUUUUUUUUUGUCCUCGCUGACAACAUUUAUCAUCGGAUAUCCACUUGUACUUCAAAUCAAAAGCUCUUCUCUCAGUAUUAGUACUGAUCAUCAUGUCCAUCGACUUUGAUAGUGCUGCUCUGCAAACUCAACAUGAGGAGGAGGAAUACGACCCAGAGGACUAUGCCCGAGAGCAAGAGCUCCACAAGCUGCUCACUGACCUGCCUGUAUGACAUGCUG